UGGCCGGGUGGCUUUCUCUUCUGCAUCCGAUUCAAUGUUUCCGGCUUUGCGUGCCGUUACUUACCCCUGAAGGAAAACCUCAAACCCCCAAACUUCAAAACCCUCGCACCAGAGACACAGGAGGGAGAAAAUUUCAGCGAGAGGGGCACAAUGUCGUUCUUCUACGUCCCCCCCGAUCCAUCUUCAUCUUCAACUCCUCUUUUCUGUGCAUUUUCGUUUUCCGCUUCUUCACUUUUCUCUUCUUCAAGCGAUUCGGCCUUCUCCUUCUCCUUUAGUUCCUCUUCAUCUUCGAUGGCAUUCACGUUCUCAUUUGCUCCCUUAUCCUCAGCCGCGCCCUCCAUGGGUUUUGGAGCGUCGACUUCCUCGGCGUCUCACGCCCCAGCGUUUUCGUUCGGAACCGGCCGCCUUGGUCCCCUCCUCCGUCGCUUCCACGCCGCUGUUCGGCGUGGCAUCGUCGGCUGCUUUUGGGACUUCGAAUAGGUUCGGAGAGGCUUCUUUGAGCCCGGCGUCGUUCGCGUUCUCUUUUCCUCCCUCAUCCUCAGCCGCGCCCUCUAUGGGAUUUGGAGCGUCGACUUCCUAGGCGUCUCCCGCCCCGGCGUUUUCGUUCGAAACCGGUGCCGCCUUGGUCCCCUCCUCCGUUGCUUCCAUGCCGCUGUUCGGCGGGGCGUCGUCGGCUGCUUUUGGGACUUCGAAUCUGUUCGGAGAGGCUUCUUCGAGCUCGGCUUCGUUCGCUGCUUCGAGCUUGGUCGGAUCUGCUCCUUCCAGCGUUGUCUCGACAAACCUUUUUGGGUCUUCCUCUUCGGGUUCGGUUCCAAGCACUACUACAACCUUGUUUGUGUCUUCUACUUCUUCUUCAAGUUCAGCUUUUGCUGGUUCUAAUUCUGCUGCGUCUCCAUUUUCGUCAAACCUUUUUGGAUCUUCCUUCUCAACUUCAGCUUCUACUGCUUCUUCAUUUUCUUCAAACUUGGUUGGGGCUUCAUCAUGGGGCUCGGUGUCUGCUAUUUCCACUUCGGCCUUUUCUUCUCCGCUAUUUGGGUCUUCCGCUUCGGGUUCGGUUCCAAGCACUACUACAACCUUGUUUGUGUCUUCUUCUUCUUCUUCAAGUUCAGCUUUUGCUGGUUCUAAUUCUGCUGCGUCUCCAUUUUCGUCAAACCUUUUUGGAUCUUCCUUCUCAACUUCAGCUUCUACUGCUUCUUCAUUUUCUUCAAACUUGGUUGGGGCUUCAUCAUGGGGCUCGGUGUCUGCUAUUUCCACUUCGGCCUUUUCUUCUCCGCUAUUUGGGUCUUCCUCUUCGGGUUCAGUUCCAAGCACUACUACAACCUUGUUUGUGUCUUCUUCUUCUUCUUCAAGUUCAGCUUUUGCUGGUUCUAAUUCUGCUGCGUCUCCAUUUUCGUCAAACCUUUUUGGAUCUUCCUUCUUAACUUCAGCUUCUACUGCUUCUUCAUUUUCUUCAAACUUGGUUGGGGCUUCAUCAUGGGGCUCGGUGUCUGCUAUUUCCACUUCGGCCUUUUCUUCUCCGCUAUUUGGGUCUUCCCCUUCGUCCUCUGCUGCCACUGCUACUCCUAAUUUGUUUGUGUCUUCUGCGGCUACAGCUACUUCUUCUCCUUUCUCGUCCUUGUCCAAACCCUUAUUUUCAUUCCCAAGCGCGUCAGCGUUUUCAAAGGAAAUUGCGACUUCAGCAUCCACUAGCACUGCUUCUUCGAUGACAUCCGCGUUCUCAUUUCCUCCCUCAUCCUCAGCCGCGCCCUCCAUGGGAUUUGGAGCGUCGACUUCCUCGGCGUCUCCUGCCCAGGCGUUUUCGUUCGGAACCAGUGCCGCCUUGGUCCCCUCCUCCAUCGCUUCCACGCCGCUGUUCGGCGUGGCGUCGUCGGUUGCUUUUGGGACUUCGAAUCUGUUCGGAGAGGCUUCUUCGAGCUCGGUGUCGUUUGCUGCUUCGAAAUACCUCUUUGGGUCUUCCUCUUCCGCUUCUACUUCUUCAAACUUGUUUGGGGAUUCAUCACCGGGCUCGGUAUCUGCUACAUCCACUGCGGCCUUUUCUUCUCCGCUAUUUGGGUCUUCCACGCCGCCGUUUGAGAGCCUUCAAAUGAAGCGCAUACAAGUGAACUCAUCUUUGAGUAUGUAGACAAGUGCAUAGAGCAAGUUGGACCACAAAAUGUCAUCCAAGUAGUAAUCGACAGUGCUGCCAACAAAAUGGGAGCAACAAAAUUGUUGAAGGUAUAUAUGAAGAAAAGAAAUAGACUAGAUGUGAAUUGAUUGAAUAAUGUAGUUUAUGUCCAAUUCAAUGCGAAAUUGAUGAACAAGCACAAAAAGGAAAAGGAAAGGAAUGUUGUUGUGCUACUUGCUAGUGAUGCUAGUAAUGCACAAUGAUGGAUCGUUGAUGGAGAAGAUGAUGUAGAAGUUGAGCUUGGUAUGGGGCUCACUUUGGAAGUGAUUGGUGAAGCAUCGGAAGUUGAUGAGAUGUUUCAAUCUCGAAGAAGUUCUAUGCUGAGAGAGUUUCAUGAGGAUGAUUUUCAACUAGAAGAAGAACAUGAGCAAGAAAUCAAUGAAUUUGAUUUUAAGUCCGAUGAAGAUUGUGUGUUGGAAGAAUAUGGAGAGGAAGAAGUCUAAUUAGAUAGAUUUUUCGAAUAUGGGUUUUAUGUUAUAUUAUUGUUGCUUUUACCUUUUUGAACCUAGAAAACUAAUAUAACAAUUUGUUUUCUCAACCCUAAUUUCAUUGUUUUACUUAUCUUUUCAACUUUGAUUUACCUAAAUAUAAUAGUAAAUUACAUCAAAGUCUUUUUUUUUUAAAAAAAAAAACAACAUUUUUUCUAAGCGCCGUUUAGAUGCCUUAAGUGCUAGGCCCCAACUUGACAUCUGCCACGUUUUAGAAUACUGAUAUUUUUAAUUAUCCAUAAAAUCUUAUGAUUUUACGAUCUAAUUUUAUGGACCCUCUUACGAUCCUACUUAAAAUCUCGAUUUUAACAACCAUGAAAAAAGGGCAACAAUCUUCUUUAGGGCUAAAGGAGAAAAUGCCUCUGUCCUCCAAGAACACCAAAGUCUCUAUCCUCUAAUACUUUGUCAUGUUACUAAAUUCUCUUCAAACCAAUCUCAACCUCCUUAAGGAAUGUGUCGUUGCUUGCUUUUCUCAAGGCUAUCUACUAGAAUCAAGUUUAGCUGUGAGGCGUUGGAUGAGAUGCCUCAUAAGGACAAUGCUUUUUUGUAACACCAUGAUAAAAGCUAUUUAAGCAUGUGUUACCUCACAUGGAGUAUUGCUUUGUAUCUUUUUCUUAGGUAGAUUUCAUUCUUGAUAACUAUAGUUCUUCAUCGAUUUUAAAGGUUUUUGGUUGGAGUAGAGAUUUUGGUUUGUGAUAGGGACUAUUGACUAGGAAAUGGUUUUUGCUCUAAAUAAUUGUUGGUUGGAUAAGAGAUUUUAGUUGUAGAUGAGUUUUUGAUUGGAAGACAGCUGUCACAUCCUUGAAUCUGACAUGAAGUUCUCAUUGAAUUUGUGAGAAUUCAGUUAAGAAAUUAGAGGGAAAUGAGAAGAAUUCUAUAGGAGGGGAGAUUGGGAAAUAUGAGGAAAAUCCGAGAGAGAGAUUGAGAGGAAAAUUUUUGAUUAAUUUCUUUGAUUCCUUCCACACUGAAAGGGUCGACACUUUUUCAAAGUUAUAGCUUUCAAAAUAUUGCAACCAUUUUACUUCCUUUUGGAAGAGUGACCUUUCACCUGUCUAUUAGGGAUGACAAUUGCAACUAAAAUCAUGGAGAAUCGAAUCGGUCAAUGCGGUUAAAAAUCGUUUGACUAGGUAAUGGUUUGGUUUGAGGAAAAAUCGAAUAUUGUUUCAAUGAGUAUAGUUUGGUUAUGGUUUUCACUAAACUCGAAUGGAAAUUGAAUCAAAUGUGUGGGUAACCGAAUCGAAUAUAUAUAUAUAUAAUAUUUAUUUAUUUAAUAUAUUAUAUAUACACAUAAUAUAUAUUGACUAAUGUAUUUUUUUACAAGUAUUUUAACUAAUGUGUUACAAAUAUAUAAAAUAUUUAACAUUUAUAAAGUAAUGAAUAAAUAAAAAUAAAUUCUAAUCUUAAAUUUUUUGAGUUUUAUCAAUAAAAUAAUUAUUAAUAAAAAUAAUUAAUUAAAUAUUUAAAAAAAUAAAACCAGGCGAGAGAUUAUGGAUCAAACUAAAAAAUUCAUUGUCAAAACCGAAACUGAAUGGUUUGGUUAUUGUUUUUAAUUUUUAAACCAAUGGGUAAUGGUUUGGUUUUGGUUUUAGUAGUUUAAGUUUGGUUUGGUUAUGGUUUUGACAAAAAUCGAAACCAAAUUGAACCAUUGCCAACCCUAUUGUCUAUUCUUUCUACUCGAGAAUGUAUUUCUCUUAAUUAUUAGGUACAUGACAAUUCCCCCCACCCUUUAAGAAUUUUCUUAUCCUCAAGAAAUGUAGAGAAGUUGGAUUGUUUGAGGAAACUGCUGGAGCAAAUCUGACAAGUAUUCUUAUGUUUUGUUAUUCGGGUGCAAGGUUAACCACUGAUUCCUCUUCUACUACUUUUUCUUCUCUUUCUAUAGAAAGUAGUUGCUUUCUGCAUUGAUACACAUGAGCGUAUUUGUCUCUACAAUAGAAACACGACCUUGUCUUCCUCUUUUGUUCUAUAACCCUUCAUCCUUGUGCUUGAGCUGGAUUAUUAGUGGUUGUUACUGUCAACCCGUUUGACUCUAGGCUGAAUUUGAUUGCCUCCUUGCCACAUCCCUUGUUUACUUGUUGGAAAGCCCUUGAACUUGUCCCUUUUACUUGCAGUCAUCGUUUCUUUGUUAAAGCUUUGACUGCUAUUUCUUGUAACCCAGCAUUUUCUAUCGCAUCCUUCACAAUUCUUGGCCUCAACAUUUUAACUCUGGCCCUCAAUUCUUUGCCCAAGUCACUAAUGAAGCUUGAGAUGAGGUAUGCUUCGAUUAAAUGAGGGUUAAAGUUCAGCAUAAGUGAUUUUAAUUCCUUAAAACUUUGACUGAUACACCUGCAUCGAUUCUUCCUAUUUUAGCUUGUUAAAUUCUUUGACAACAUCUAUCAUACUUGUCUUCGAAUCUUUCGCAUAGGUUUUCUGCAAAUUGUGUCCAUUGACAAUCAUCCUUGUCACGAAUCCAAUCUUGAAACUAGGUAUCUCCUACGUUAUUAAGGUAAGCAGAGGUCAAUGUGACUACACACUAAACAUUCUCUCGCACAUUCUUACCAACGACCUAGGUUUUUGUAUAGCAAAUAUUGGGAUUUCGAUUUUAGGUAGGGGCAUACAUAGUUGGGAUUGGGUAGUCUACACCCGUUAUCUUCUUUCUUCAAAAGUUUUUUUGCCAGAUGGUUCUUUUUCAGUUGCAGAAGUCCCAAUAGGCUUGUGGCCUGCCACACUUCCGGGUAAUAUUGGUUUUGAUGUCUCCUUAUGAGAGGACAUUCGGGAAAGAGGCCUGGUUUUAUCUUGCAAACAAUAGCAUGAAUUGUCGCAUUUGGUUAUUUUAUUCCCUUAUUUGUCUUCUAGUAUUGCCCCUCAACCUUUCAACUCCACUGCCCAGCUUCUUUUCCACUCUUGAUUCUAUGGAUCCCAUUUGAUUCUACAAUUUUACCAUCGUUGCAGCCACCUGUUGCAUUUGCAACUCCAUUUGCUUCAUUCUGGUGUCUUCUGCCAUUGGAAGGGAAGAUUCUUGUGAGAUUGUCAAUUUAGGACUUGUUCUGAUAUCAAAAUGUUAGAUUCUUGAAUCUGGUUGGAAGUUUUCACUAAAUUAGUGAGAAUUCAAUUAAGAAAUUAGUAGAAAAUGAGAAGAAUUCUAAAAGAGGAGGGAAGACAGAGAGAUAGGAGGUAAAUUUGAGAGAGAGAUUGAGAGGAAAAUUAGAAGUUUUUGAUUAAUUUCUUUGAUUCCUUCCACACUAAAUGCAAUCAAUAAUUAUAUAUUGAUUAUAGCUAGUUUUUGGCGCCAAAAAGGGCAACCACUUUUUCAAAGUUUCAAGUUUCAGAAUAUUGCAACUAUCUAAUUUCAUUCUAGAAGAAUGACCUUUCAUUUGCUCAUUCCUUUUAUCCGAGAAUAUAUUCUCUUAGUUAUUAGGUACAUGACAACAACUUUUAGUGAGAGAAAGGGACAAUCGGUUGAAGAUGGUAAAACACAGCUUCUAAAAGGGAAAUGAUGAGAAACAAAAAGCAACUUGGAAGGGAUUUUGAUGAAGGAUUGCAAAUCUAACCUUAAUAAUUAAAGAUUUAAUAGGGUGGGGGAUUCAAUUUCAGAGUGAACAAAAAUGAUAACAUAAAAUGAAAUGAGUGUGAAACACCCUUUUGGUGUCUCUUUGUUUUGCCACUUUUUUGUUUCUUUUGUUUUUGUGUGUAUUCAAAUGUUGUAAAAACAAAUAGAAAACUAAAAACUAAGGCUAAGUAGACAAGCCCUACUUGGAAUGCUUCCAUUGUGCACUCUCUUUAAAUUCAUGAAAUGAAACCUAUCCUGCUUAACUACUAGUAAUUUUGAUUGAAAUGCAACUAGUUCAGCUUAACUUUU